AGCAAAAUGAUGAAAAAGCUCGAUCUGAAUUCCAAAUGUGGAUUUAAUUUAUCGAGUUAUGGUCUUCAAAGUUCUCUGAUUGCU
rnacentral:snoRNA from 1 species